rnacentral:rRNA from 1 species
UACGUAGGUGACCAGCGUUGUCCGGAUUUACUGGGCGUAAAGAGCGCGCAGGCGGUCGUUCAAGUCGAGUGUGAAAGCCCUCGGCUCAACUGGGGAGGGUCAUUCGAUACUGAUCGACUGGAAGGCAGGAGAGGGAAGCGGAAUUCCCGGUGUAGUGGUGAAAUGCGUAGAUAUCGGGAGGAACACCAGUGGCGAAGGCGGCUUCCUGGCCUGUUCUUGACGCUGAGGCGCGAAAGCUAGGGGAGCGAACGGG